AUGAGUUCUAAUAUGCAGCGCCAAGCAGUUCCGCUUUCUCGGUCCGAGAAAUGCAUUGUUGGAACUAGAUUGGAAUGCCAAACAGCUCUAGAUUCGAGGGUUUCCAUUAUAGCCGAACGCGAGGGAAAGAUCAUUUCUACUGAUAGUCAUAAGAUACUUUUAUCAAGUAGUGGGAAGACUAUAAGUAUUCCUUUAGUUAACCACCGUCGCUCUAACAAAAAUACUUGUAUGCACCAAAAACCCCGGAUUCCACGGGGUAAAUCCAUUAAAAAGGACAAAUUUUAG
rnacentral:rRNA from 1 species